rnacentral:rRNA from 1 species
AAAAUACGGGAGGCAGCAGUGGGGGGUAUUGCACAAUGGGCGGAAGCCUGAUGCAGCGACGUCGCGUGAGGGAUGGAGGCCUUCGGGUUGUGAACCUCUUUCUCCGGUGGUGAAGGCCCUGUCCGUUGCGGCGGGGUUGACGGUAGCCGGGUAUGAAGCGCCGGCUAACUACGUGCCAGCAGCCGCGGUAAUUUUU